AUUGAACGCUGGCGGAAUGCUUUACACAUGCAAGUCGAACGGCAGCACGGACUUCGGUCUGGUGGCGAGUGGCGAACGGGUGAGUAAUAUAUCGGAACGUGCCCAGUCGUGGGGAAUAACGUAGUGAAAAUUACGCUAAUACCGCAUACGAUCUAUGGAUAAAAGCGGGGGAUCGCAAGACCUCGCGCGAUUGGAGCGGCCGAUAUCAGAUUAGGUAGUUGGUGAGGUAAAGGCUCACCAAGCCGACGAUCUGUAGCUGGUCUGAGAGGACGACCAGCCACACUGGAACUGAGACACGGUCCAGAUUCCUACGGGAGGCAGCAGUGGGGAAUUUUGGACAAUGGACGCAAGUCUGAUCCAGCCAUUCCGCGUGCAGGACGAAGGCCUUCGGGUUGUAAACUGCUUUUGUACAGAACGAAAAGGUCUCUAUUAAUACUAGGGGCUCAUGACGGUACUGUAAGAAUAAGCACCGGCUAACUACGUGCCAGCCGCCGCAGUAA
rnacentral:rRNA from 1 species